GGCUUUAGGUCCGGGGAGUGUCUCGCCAGCGGCAGCACACCCCUGUAAGUGGUGGCCAGGGCUGCUGUGGCAAAAUGAGCUGUCAACUUUAGGUUGACAGGGGUGUGGCCGCGACCGCAAGGGCUUUUGUUGCCGGGUGAACCCAACAGGGAUGGGCUGCUGGGGACAGCUGCUGGUGUGGUUCGGAGCCGCGGGCGCCAUUCUCUGCUCUAGCCCGGGGUCCCAGGAGACUUUUCUGCGGUCCUCGCCCCUGCCGCUGGCAAGUCCCAGCCCCCGGGACCCGAAAGUCAGCGCCCCGCCUAGGAUCUUGGAGCCAGCCUCCCCGCUGAAUUCUCCGGGCACCGAGGGGUCUUGGCUGUUUUCUACCUGCGGGGCCAGCGGCCGGCAUGGGCCCACACAGACACAAUGUGACGGGGCGUACGCGGGGACCAGCGUGGUGGUGACCGUGGGGGCCGCCGGGCAGCUGAGAGGCGUGCAGCUGUGGCGCGUGCCGGGCCCUGGCCAGUAUCUGAUCUCAGCCUACGGAGCCGCGGGCGGCAAAGGCGCCAAGAACCACCUGUCGCGGGCGCAUGGCGUCUUCGUCUCAGCAAUCUUCUCCCUCGGUCUCGGGGAGUCGCUGUACAUCCUGGUGGGGCAGCAGGGAGAGGACGCCUGUCCCGGAGGUAGCCCGGAGAGCCAGCUCGUCUGCCUCGGGGAGUCUCGAGCCGUUGAAGAGCACGCGGCGAUGGAUGGGAGCGAAGGGGUCCCGGGGUCGCGGCGCUGGGCGGGAGGUGGCGGGGGUGGCGGGGGCGCCACCUACGUUUUCCGGGUGCGCGCUGGCGAACUGGAACCGUUGCUGGUGGCGGCCGGAGGCGGCGGUCGGGCCUACCUGAGGCCGCGGGACCGAGGCCGGACUCAGGCCUCCCCCGAGAAACUGGAGAACCGCUCGGAGGCGCCCGGGAGCGGCGGGAGAGGCGGGGCGGCAGGUGAGGGCGCGGGCCGCGGGGAGAGGCGGGCGUGCUCCCCGUGUGGCUGCCAACCUUCCUGCUGUCGCUCUGCAGGUGGUGGGGGCGGCUGGACGUCGCGGGCUCCCUCUCCGCAGGCCGGCCGCUCACUGCAGGAGGGGGCGGAGGGCGGCCAGGGCUGCUCCGAGGCUUGGGCGACCCUUGGCUGGGCCGCGGCCGGCGGCUUCGGGGGCGGCGGCGGGGCCUGCACUGCGGGCGGAGGCGGCGGCGGCUACAGGGGGGGCGAUGCUUCAGAGACUGACAACCUCUGGGCUGAUGGGGAAGAUGGAGUAUCCUUCAUACACCCCAGCAGCGAGCUCUUCCUGCAGCCUCUGGCAGUCACCGAGAACCACGGAGAGGUAGAGAUCCGAAGGCACCUCAACUGCAGUCACUGCCCUUUGAGAGACUGCCAAUGGCAGGCAGAGCUCCAGUUGGCUGAAUGCCUGUGCCCAGAAGGCAUGGAGCUAGCUGUGGAUAACGUCACCUGCAUGGACCUGCACAAGCCCCCAGGCCCUCUGGUUCUGAUGGUGGCUGUGGUGGCAACCUCAACACUGAGCCUCCUUAUGGUGUGUGGGGUCCUGAUUCUGGGUACGAAGCGUCUAGCAGGCACAGUUGAUUCAAGGCUGCUCCUCUCCAGUGAGCUGGGAUGGGUUUCUGCAGGGUCCCGGGGCUGACUUCAAGACCACUGACCGCAGCAGAGCCGUGGUAGACUCCUCUGGGAUUCUAAGAUAGGAAGGAGCUGGGGAGGCCUGGGGAAAACGUUUACCUUAAUGAGCAUCUGGAGGGGUGUCCUGGGCAGGUGGGGGAGGGAGAGUUGAUGGGCAGGUGGAGGGUGUGCCGUUAUUCUUCCCACCCCCAGUGAAGCAGAAGAAGUGGCAGGGCCUGCAGGAGAUGAGGCUGCCGAGCCCUGAGCUUGAGCUGAGCAAGCUUCGAACCUCUGCCAUCAGGACAGCCCCCAAUCCCUAUUAUUGCCAGGUGGGGCUUGGCCCGGCCCAGUCCUGGCCUCUGCCCCCAGGUGUCACCGAGGUUUCCCCAGCCAAUGUUACUCUGCUCAGAGCCCUGGGCCAUGGUGCCUUUGGGGAGGUGUAUGAGGGACUGGUAAUUGGCCUUCCUGGGGACUCCAGUCCCCUGCAGGUAGCUAUCAAGACCCUGCCAGAACUCUGCUCGCCUCAGGAUGAGCUGGAUUUCCUCAUGGAGGCCCUCAUCAUCAGCAAGUUUAGCCAUCAGAACAUUGUGCGGUGUGUGGGGCUCAGCCUCAGGGCCACCCCUCGCCUCAUUCUGCUGGAACUGAUGUCUGGAGGGGACAUGAAGAGUUUCCUGAGGCACAGUCGGCCACACCUGGGCCAGCCAUCACCUCUGGUCAUGCGGGACCUGCUGCAGCUGGCCCAGGACAUAGCCCAGGGCUGCCACUACCUGGAGGAAAAUCACUUCAUCCACAGGGAUAUUGCCGCCCGGAACUGCCUGCUGAGCUGCACUGGACCCAGCCGAGUGGCCAAGAUUGGGGACUUUGGGAUGGCACGGGAUAUCUACCGGGCCAGUUAUUACCGCAGGGGGGACCGGGCCUUGCUCCCAGUCAAGUGGAUGCCCCCAGAGGCCUUCCUGGAGGGCAUCUUCACAUCCAAGACAGAUUCCUGGUCUUUUGGGGUGCUGCUCUGGGAGAUCUUCUCACUGGGCUACAUGCCCUAUCCUGGGCGCACCAACCAGGAGGUGCUGGACUUCGUCGUUGGAGGAGGCCGGAUGGACCCUCCUAGGGGCUGCCCAGGGCCUGUGUGAGUUGAGUGCUGCCCGGGAAGGGAGGUCCUUCACAACCAUGGGUGGGCAUGAACUCCUGCCUCUCCCCAGGUACCGCAUCAUGACCCAGUGUUGGCAGCACGAGCCUGAGCUCCGCCCUAGCUUUGCCAGCAUCUUGGAGCGUCUGCAGUACUGCACUCAGGACCCGGAUGUGCUGAAUUCACUCCUGCCAAUGGAGCUGGGGCCCACCCCAGAGGAGGAAGGGACUUCUGGGCUGGGGAACAGAUCUUUGGAGUGCCUAAGACCCCCACAGCCCCAGGAACUGAGUCCAGAGAAGUUGAAAAGCUGGGGAGGUAGCCCUCUUGGCCCCUGGCUGUCCUCUGGCCUCAAGCCCCUCAAAUCCAGGGGCCUCCAACCUCAGAACCUUUGGAAUCCCACUUAUCGCUCCUGAGCCCCAAGGGGCCCUGAGGGUAAGGACUGAGGCACUGAGGGUCCCUCCCUAUACUCCUCAGGCUCCUGGGUGGCCUGUUAUGCCAGCGGCCUCUGUUCCCUGCAGUCUGUGCUGUGUGUCUGGGCCUGUCUCGGGGCUGGCCUGGCAGCGCUGCACUUGCCGUGCUGGAAACCAGCCCAGGCCUCCGAGGGAAGGGCCCAGCCACUUCCAGCUUUUGAUCUUGGGGCCAGAGGCCGCCUUACACACACCCCAGGUGUCCAUGGGGAGCACUGGAUUGCUCUCCCAUUAUGAGCGUCCUUCAUGUGGGCAGACCCCCCACCCUGCAGAUGCUUCUAAUAAAAAGCUCUUCUCAUC
rnacentral:sRNA from 1 species